rnacentral:rRNA from 1 species
GACGAACGCUGGCGGCGUGCUUAACACAUGCAAGUCGAACGGUAAGGCCCUUCGGGGUACACGAGUGGCGAACGGGUGAGUAACACGUGGGUGAUCUGCCCUGCACUUCGGGAUAAGCCUGGGAAACUGGGUCUAAUACCGGAUAGGACCCUGGGAUGCAUGUCCUGGGGUGGAAAGCUUUUGCGGUGUGGGAUGGGCCCGCGGCCUAUCAGCUUGUUGGUGGGGUGAUGGCCUACCAAGGCGACGACGGGUAGCCGGCCUGAGAGGGUGAACGGCCACACUGGGACUGAGAUACGGCCCAGACUCCUACGGGAGUCAGCAGUGGGGAAUAUUGCACAAUGGGCGCAAGCCUGAUGCAGCGACGCCGCGUGAGGGAUGACGGCCUUCGGGUUGUAAACCUCUUUCAGCACCGACGAAGCGCAAGUGACGGUAGGUGCAGAAGAAGGACCGGCCAACUACGUGCCAGCCGCCGCGGUAA